rnacentral:lncRNA from 1 species
AUGUGCGAUAUCCAUGGACAAUUAGUACCAGCGCUCAUCGAUACAGGUGAAGUUUUGCCUUCGUUCAAGCGGACAAGUACUCCCAUCAAGCUCCUGCUGAAAUUGCGAUUGGAAAAAGAAGAACAGUUUGCUCGAACGCCAACUGCCAAGAGUAAGCUGUGGGUUUCCAUCGCUAAUUCUAUGGCUGAGCAAGGAUACUUUGUCAGUGAACCUGCUUGCGAUGCCAAGUAUCGUAAUCUCAAAAGUACCUAUCAAAACAUGCGUUUGCGCCUAUUAAAAACUGGUGAAGCGAGAGAGAUCGAUGGAAAAACUGAGGAAUCGCCCAGUUGGGAGUUUUACGCUUUGUUCAGGGACAACAUAGGGACAAAAGCAAGCGUUGAGCCGGACGAGGGUCUGUUAGGAGGAGCCUUUAAUCAGGCUGAAAAACCAGCUACACACGACACAUCCUUUGGGUAAGAAAGUUCUCCUGAAGAAGGGAAAACUGGAAUGUUUUCGAAAGGUAAACGAAAGAGAGUGAAGACACAACCAGAACUAACCGUAAAACAGUAUCUUCGUCAAAAAAAUGCACAGGAUUAUUUGGACCACGUUUACGCAUUUAACACGAUCUAGGUAUGCAGUCCCCAAACAACAACUAGUCAAUUGGCAUGCUGAAGUAGAUUCGUAGCUGAAAACGAGGAAGUUUCUAGUUUACCCCUACAGAAUUUUUUAACCCGGAGGAAACAGAGAUAGAUCCGGAACGCCCAGCACCUACUAUUGUUGAAGGUAAUAGUGUAGUAACAGACCCCUAACGGAUCUUCAAUGGAGAUGAAGCUGCUUUUUUUUUAAAAUCCGAAAGGCUCUAAAGUCAUUGUUGCCAGAGGUGAAAAAUGUGUUUAUCACGUGGUAAAUACAGACGAAAAAGAGUGUCUCACCGUUAUGAUGACUGCAAAUGCUGCUGGUGACAUAGUGGAUCCUUUGAUUGUCUUUAAAUACACACGAGUACCAGAUGGAAUUGCAAAAAUUAUUCCAAAAAACUGGGCUAUAGGAAGGUCGCAGAAUGGUUGGUUUUUCAGACACUGACUCAUGGUUUGUUAUUCUCUUACUUUUAUGUAACUUAAGUGCCAUUCAGGAUUGUUCGCAAAAGCGUUGCUCUGAUUUUCUUUGCUUGAUCUCCUUUUUUAUUUACUAUUAAGUGCAACGUGUUCUGCUAUGCAUAGCUCACGUAAAACGUAAUAAGCUUAUUUACUUUCUUUACUGAAAGUGUUCUUAAAAGUCAGAAGUGCUAUUUUUUAGUUACUUACCUAUAAACUAAAAUUCUGAGUUUGCUCAAAGAUUAUAACUCAAUAAGUGUAAGCAUGUUAAUUUAUUUUUAAAUGUAACUUUCAACAUGAGCUUUCAAUACCCUUUAAAGUUUACUUUUGAUUACUAAAGACUUUAUGAUAGUUCCAAGAGCAAUUCAGCGAACAAUUUAGGGAAAAUUAUUUUUAUUCCAGUAUUUUUGUUGCUUUAAUAUAAUAAAAUAUUUGUUCUUUCAACUCUAUGAUCUUCUCUCAUUACCAUGAACGUAUAAUUUAAAACUUUAAAAUUUUCUGCUUCUUCAAUUUCUUUAAGCUGUCAAAAUUACGUCCCAACACUUGUAGGAGGAAGAAGAUGGAGAAUUUGGCUGGUUUGAAGCCGCUUCUUAAUGACUCGUUCCUUGAUGAUUGAAUGGCGAAGCUUUCUAUGGAUCGCCAACAAUCGUCUUCCGAAUUCCGAAUAAUUUUUCUUCAAAAUCUAGAAGUGAUUCUCUGCCUCCUUAUCUUAGUCUCAAUUUAGUCAUUUGCCAAAAUUAGUGGAUACGACAAAUAUAAUCACUCUCCUCAAAAAAGAAAGCAAUCAAUGAUUGACUGUCAGGCAAAUUACAAUCCCCUCAAAGAACUUUAAGUUGAUGAAAAAUUUCACUUUAAGAAAACUCCGAGAGAUGUCUGGCAACCUGCACAAUUAUUCAAAAAUGUAAAGAGCCUAACUUUUAUGAACUUCAAACUUCAUCAGGUAAAGUUUAUAGGCACACCCGCCUCCACAUUAAAAAAGGUGCCACAAAAACCUCUUUUAGUUUUGAGGAUUCUGACAUAAAAAGUGAAUCUUGCAAUAACCUCGUCUCUAAUUCUCUCAAAAAUCAGAAUAUUCUAGAACCCAAAUCUGAUCAAAGUCAACACCAGUUGAAAAUACUGUUAAAGCCAUCUGCUGUUAAACCGGCAACUAUAAAUCUUGUGCCCAUCACACUCAGUGACAGUGUGUUAAAUGAUGGUAAACACUUUAAGUAUUAUGUGUUAUGUUAAUAAGUUGUUACAUAAGUCGUAUCUAAUUAUAUAGACUUUCCAAAAAUCCACACUUGUGAACCUCGUGAAAUUUUUGUUAAAUUUAGUUCUUAUGAAGUCAAAGAAAAGCUGCAAGAGAACUUUGGGAAGAAAUUUAAAACAGGUAUGCCUUUGAACAUGGUCUUAGUUAAAAAUACCGAAGCAAGUAAUAAGAAUAAUGAUGGCACUAGAAUCUGGGUUAAGGACCGCUUGACGCCUAAAAGAAAUUUCCUUUUGAGGCUUGCGAAGAAACUCUUAAGGAGGGGAAACUUAAGUUUGCAUGGGUAAAAAGAGGUAGUAUCCUUAUUAAGGUACAUGAGGAUUUCCCAGUUAAAAUAGUCUUAAGCGAAACUGAUAUCCUUGAUGAGCUCAAAAAUGUUACGGCCGCCAAUGCAACUGCUUCAAGUGCAGACACACCAUCCAAGUAAAUCAGGAAAUCUUUAACCUUUAACAUGCCUCGCAUAAACAUUAAAUUAAUUUCCAAGUCCUCCCCCCCCCCCCCGGAACUGAGUUCUAUUCAUAGCGAAAUAUAAGUCUGGUCAUAAUUGUAUUGUUACUUAAAGAAUUUGGCAGAUUCUAAUAAGGUUGGUGGAAUCUAGUCCACUAAUAUGUUCCUCAGUACCUAAAGUAAUUUGUAAAUUUACUGUGCAAGCCGCGGUUUGAUUAUCCUAUCUCUUUCGUCUACACCCGCAUCUAACAUCUUGCACCUGAUCUCAUUAGUAUAAUAGCUAUGACUUAAUUAUGUAAUUUAAUUUUUUUGAACUUAUUACUUAUGGUGAUUCGUCAAGCUCAAGUGACAUGGUCGAACUGCCAUGCUGCGCUAUUUUUGAGAAAAAUCUAUUUCUUUACACGACGAAGGGCACUGUCAAACACGCAUGCUUUAUAACUUGUCGCGGUAUUUUAUUGUGGAGUCGGCCGAGUUUAAACUCGUUUACGGACCCGAAAGAACCGGAUACAAUUUAUAUUGCUCCGCCGCACCAAAACAAUGUGUCAAUUUCAAAACCGCUAUGUUCAAUUGCUGACGCUUGGAACAGCAUCACAGAGAUGAACAGAGUGGGUUACCCGUGGUUAGCCAUGAUGAGAUUCACAGAAGAAGCUAUUCAAUUAACGGAGUAUUGUAGCGUAUGAAGUCGCGAACAAUUUCUAAGGAAUGAUAUCAGCAGUGAGCUGAGUGGGAUUAUAAGUAAUACAAAAGCAAGUUUACGAAACUUUUUUUUAAAACUUAAUGUAAUUUUUCAAAAGCUAACUG